rnacentral:rRNA from 1 species
GAUGAACGCUGGCGGCGUGCCUAAUACAUGCAAGUCGAGCGAACAGACGAGGAGCUUGCUCCUCUGACGUUAGCGGCGGACGGGUGAGUAACACGUGGAUAACCUACCUAUAAGACUGGGAUAACUUCGGGAAACCGGAGCUAAUACCGGAUAAUAUAUUGAACCGCAUGGUUCAAUAGUGAAAGACGGUUUUGCUGUCACUUAUAGAUGGAUCCGCGCGGCAUUAGCUAGUUGGUAAGGUAACGGCUUACCAAGGCGACGAUGCGUAGCCGACCUGAGAGGGUGAUCGGCCACACUGGAACUGAGACACGGUCCAGACUCCUACGGGAGGCAGCAGUAGGGAAUCUUCCGCAAUGGGCGAAAGCCUGACGGAGCAACGCCGCGUGAGUGAUGAAGGUCUUCGGAUCGUAAAACUCUGUUAUUAGGGAAGAACAAAUGUGUAAGUAACUAUGCUCGUCUUGACGGUACCUAAUCAGAAAGCCACGGCUAACUACGUG